AUGUGGUUUGUCCUAUAUUUUAUACAGUAUUUUUGCCUUUUGGUACAAUCUAAGAUAAAUGCCCUCAAUCUCACACAAAUUAUCAAGGAACCUACCAGGUACAACCUUAAAAUCGGUAACCACCUCUUAGAUAUCAUCCUGACCAAUUUGCCCUCUAAAUACAUCUCUGCUGUCUUCAACCAGGAUCUCAGCGAUCACUGCCUCAUUGCCUGCGUGUGUAAUGGGUCCGCGGUCAAACGACCACCCCUCAUCACUGUCAAACGCUCACUAAAAGACUUCAGAGAGCAGGCCUUUCUAAUCAACAAGGCCCAGGUAAACUGGAACACCUCUCAGUUAGUGUUCAGUGUGUCAAAUCGGAGGGCCUCUGUAUAUAUCAAUGAUGUCGCUCUUGCGGCUGGUGAUUCUCUGAUCCACCUCUACGCAGACGACACCAUUCUGUAUACAUCUGGCCCUUAUUUGUACACUGUGCUAACAAACCUCCAAACGAGCUUCAAUGCCAAACAACACUCCUUCCGUGGCCUCCAACUGCUUUUAAAUGCUAGUAAAACUAAGUGCAUGCUCUUCAACCGAUUGCUGUCCGCACCCUCCCUCCGGACUAGCAUCACUACUCUGGAUGGUUCUGACCUAGAAUAUGUGGACAACUACCUAGGUGUCUGGUUAGACUGUAAACUCUCCUUCCAGACUCACAUUAAGCAUCUCCAAUCCAAAAUUAAAUCUAGAAUCGGCUUCCUAUUUCGCAACAAAGGCUCCUUCACUCACGCUGCUAAACAUCCCCUUGUAGAACUGACUAUCCUACCGAUCCUUGACUUCGGCGAUGUUAUUUACAAAAUAGCCUCCAACACUCUACUCAGCAAACUGGAUUUAGUUUAUCAUAGUGCCAUCCGUUUUAUCACCAAAGCCCCAUAUACCACCCACCACUGCGACCUGUAUGCUCUCGUUGGCUGGCCCUCGAUACAUAUCUGUCGCCAAACCCACUGGCUCCAGGUCAUCUAUAGGUGUAAAGUGCCGCCUUAUCUCAGCUCACUGGUCACCAUAGCAACACCCAUCUGUAGCACGCUAGUCCCCAAAGCCAACACUUACUUUGGUCGCCUUUCCUUCCAGUUCUCUGCUGCCAAUGACUGGAACAAAUUGCAAAAAUCUCUGAAGCUAGAAUCUUAUAUCUCCCUCUCCAAUUAA
rnacentral:lncRNA from 1 species